UUUUUAAUUUAAUAUAGGAUUUCGCUAUAUUUUUCUAUAAAUGAACUUUAUCUUAUGCUUAAUAGAAAGAAUGAAAUAAAAAAAUGGGGUCACCGUUCAUUUACGCUCACAAUCUGCCUUCGAAAGAAACAUACAUUAUUGUUAAUGUCCUUUUUUUCUGUUGAACUAAUAUGAGAAAUAAUGGUAAUAUACUGAAAUGCAGUCAACUUUAGCGUUUGAUAGUUCAUUGAUAACAUUCUGGCGUAUCACAAACAAACAACUUGUAACGUCUCAUUUCAUUGGCCGAAAGAUUCAAAUACAACAACAUUUGUAGUUUGCAUGUGAAUUGACACAGGUGACUGACUAUGGAAUGUACUAUGUUACUACGAACGUAAAAACAAGGAUUUGACAAUGUAAAGUUUACAAAUCUUUGGUCAAAA
rnacentral:lncRNA from 1 species